rnacentral:tRNA from 1 species
GGUGAGAUGGCCGAGUUGGUUAUGGCGCCAGGUUAAGGUUACCUUAACACUAUUUCCUGGUCACGAAAGUGGCGUGGGUUCGAAUCCCACUCUCAUCA